rnacentral:rRNA from 1 species
GAUGAACGCUGGCGGCGUGCUUAACACAUGCAAGUCGAACGAGAAGUGGAGACGGAAACCUUCGGGCGGAAGACUUUAUUUCGAGUGGCGGACGGGUGAGUAACGCGUGGGUAACCUGCCUCAUACAGGGGGAUAACAGUUGGAAACGACUGUUAAUACCGCAUAAGACCACAGCACCGCAUGGUGCGGGGGUAAAAACUCCGGUGGUAUGAGAUGGACCCGCGUUCGAUUAGCCAGUUGGCGGGGUAACGGCCCACCAAAGCGACGAUCGAUAGCCGAUCUGAGAGGAUGACCGGCCACAUUGGGACUGAGACACGGCCCAAACUCCUACGGGAGGCAGCAGUGGGGAAUAUUGCACAAUGGGGGAAACCCUGAUGCAGCGACGCCGCGUGAGUGAAGAAGUAUUUCGGCAUGUAAAGCUCUAUCAGCAGGGAAGAAAAUGACGGUACCUGAGUAAGAAGCCCCGGCUAACUACGUG